rnacentral:rRNA from 1 species
GACGAACGCUGGCGGCGUGCUUAACACAUGCAAGUCGAACGGAAAGGCCCUGCUUUUGUGGGGUGCUCGAGUGGCGAACGGGUGAGUAACACGUGAGUAACCUGCCCUUGACUUUGGGAUAACUUCAGGAAACUGGGGCUAAUACCGGAUAGGAGCUCCUGCUGCAUGGUGGGGGUUGGAAAGUUUCGGCGGUUGGGGAUGGACUCGCGGCUUAUCAGCUUGUUGGUGGGGUAGUGGCUUACCAAGGCUUUGACGGGUAGCCGGCCUGAGAGGGUGACCGGCCACAUGAGGACUGAGAUACGGCCCAGACUCCUACGGGAGGCAGCAGUGGGGAAUAUUGCACAAUGGGCGGAAGCCUGAUGCAGCAACGCCGCGUGCGGGAAGACGGCCUUCGGGUUGUAAACCGCUUUCGCCUGUGACGAAGCGUGAGUGACGGUAAUGGGUAAAGAAGCACCGGCUAACUACGUG